GACGUAGGGCGCGAGCGUUGUCCGGAUUUAUUGGGCGUAAAGAGCUCGUAGGCGGCUUGUCGCGUCGAAUGUGAAAACCCGAGGCUCAACUUCGGGCUUGCAUUCGAUACGGGCAGGCUCGAGUUCGGUAGGGGAGACUGGAAUUCCUGGUGUAGCGGUGAAAUGCGCAGAUAUCAGGAGGAACACCGAUGGCGAAGGCAGAUCUCUGGGCCGUAACUGACGCUGAGGAGCGAAAGCAUGGGGAGCGAACAGG
rnacentral:rRNA from 1 species